UUUUGUUAGCUUUGAGCCUUUCAUUGUUUCCCUGAUGUCGGAUUCCGAGGACUCUUGUAGCGAACGCGACUCUUUGCAUCAUAGUGAGGGUGACAGUAAAAACUCUAGUAAGUCGUCUGUCAGAAAAAGAAAACAAUUGAAGAAAGAAGAUCAAAGAAAAGGAACUGCCUCUUCAGCCAAGAAAAGCAACAAAAAAAAAUUGUUUAUUACAAUUUUUUUGUUAGUUUUAAUUCUCUCAGGGUCUAUUCCUUACCUUUUUGUUGCUUACGAUUAUUUCCUAUCUUCUCAACUUGCUGCUAAUCUGGGUUUAGCAAAAAGCCCUUACAAUCGUGUGAUGGCCUUCUACAAAGCUUACAAUCCAGAAAAAGCUAAUGAUAAACAUGUGAAGCGUAUACUUUCUCUUUAUAAAGGAAAGCACAAGCAACUUUACUCGGCUUUAGAAAAACGUUAUAAGGUUCCUUCUGGAACUGUUUAGGCUCUUGCCGAACUCAACUCUUUU